GCGGACUAGAGCGACAACUGACCAUCCGAAAGAGACGGGUGUCCCAACCUCCUUGCUGUAGGCCGGGGCCGGCGCUAAGACCCAGGAGGAGCUCCGAGGGGUGGGGGUGCUGAAGCCCGUCGGUCCUCCGGCUGCUCCGGGAGCCUCGGGGCGCGGCGCGGGCAUGGCUCGCCCGGCGUGGGGGUUGUUGUGGCUGCUGCUGGGCAGCGCGGGCGCGCAGUACGAGAAGUACAGCUUCCGAGGCUUCCCUCCGGAGGACCUGAUGCCUCUGGCCACGGCCUACGGCCACGCUCUGGAGCAGUACGAGGGCGAGAGCUGGCGCGAGAGCGCGCGCUACCUGGAGGCGGCGCUGCGGCUGCACCGGCUGCUGCGCGACAGCGAGGCCUUCUGCCACGCCAACUGCAGCGGCCCCGCCGCCUCGCAGCCCCGGCCGGCGCCCGGCCCGGACGAUGACGGCGAUGGCGAUGGCGAGGACUGGGCACACGAGCUGCGGCUGUUCGGUCACGUCCUGGAGCGCGCUGCCUGCCUGCGGCGCUGCAAGCGGACGCUGCCCGCCUUCCAGGUCCCCUACCCGCCGAGGCAGCUGCUGCGCGACUUCCAGAGCCGCCUGCCCUACCAGUACCUGCACUACGCGCACUUCAAGGCGAACCGACUGGAGAAGGCGGUGGCUGCGGCCUACACCUUCCUCCAGAGGAACCCCAAGCACGAGCUGACCGCCAAGUAUCUCAACUACUACAGGGGGAUGCUGGAUAUCGGAGAUGAGUCCCUUACGGACCUAGAGGCCCAGCCCUACGAGGCUGUGUUCCUCCGUGCUGUGAAGCUCUACAACAGCGGAGACUUCCGCGGCAGCACAGAAGACAUGGAGCGGGCCCUGGCUGAGUACAUGACCGUCUUUGCUCGGUGUCUAGCUGGCUGUGAGGGGGCCCAUGAACAGGUAGACUUCAAGGACUUCUACCCAGCCAUAGCAGAUCUCUUUGCAGAGUCCCUACAGUGCAAGGUGGACUGCGAAACCAACCUCAUCCCCAACGUAGGUGGCUACUUUGUGGACAAGUUUGUGGCCACCAUGUAUCACUACCUACAGUUUGCCUACUACAAACUGAAUGACGUGCGCCAGGCCGCCCGCAGUGCUGCUAGCUACAUGCUCUUUGACCCCAAAGACAGUGUCAUGCAGCAGAACCUGGUGUAUUACCGCUUCCACCGGGCUCGCUGGGGCCUUGAAGAGGAGGACUUCCAGCCCCGGGAGGAGGCCUUGCUCUACCACAACCAGACCUCUGAGCUUCGGGAGUUGCUGGACUUCACACAAAUGUACCUUCAGUCUGAUGAUGAGAUGGAACUGGAGGAGACAGAGUCACCCUCAGAUAAAGUGGAGGAGACAGAAGAACUCCCAUCCGAUGCCGAGUUUGAAGGGGAGGGUGACUAUGAGGAGGGCCUCUAUGCAGACUGGUGGCAGGAGCCGGAUGCCAAGGGCGACGAGGCUGAGGCUGAGCCAGAGCCUGAACUGGCUUAAGAGUGGUGGUGCACACCUUUAAUCCCGGCAUUCGGGAGGCAGAGGCAGGCCGACCUCUGUGGGUUCGAGGCCAGUCUGGUCUACAAAGCAAAUUCCAGGACAGCCAGGCCUACAUGGACAAACCCUGUCUUGGAAAACCAAAAAGAAAAGAAAAAAGAGCGGUGACAUGGUGCUCCCCUCAAACUCAGGAUACCGGGCUAGGAGCAAGAACUAUUUAUUAAAACAUAAAGUAACCCGGUGUGAUGGUGCAAGCCUUUGACACCAGCACCCAAAGGGGCAGAAACAGGCAGAUCUCAGUCCCAGGCCAGCCUUGACUACAUAGUGAGAUGCGGGCCAGCUCAGGCUACAUGAUGAGAUCUGUUUCAAAACAAAAAUAACUGAGUGCGGUGUUGCAGGCCUUUAAUCCCAGCAGUUGAGGUGCAGAGGCAGGCGGAUCUCUGUGAGUUCAAGGUCAGCCUGGCCCACGUGGUGAGUUCCAGACUAGAUAAUGCUACAUAGUGAGACCCUGCCUCAAAAUAGAAAGAAAAACCUUAAAAGGAACAUAGUUGGCCUAGCUCCCACCCAGACUCUACCAUGCCUCUCAGAAUGGUGGCCAUGUUGCUGGCUGCCACGUGAACUGUUGGUGAUCCCUCCUUCCCCUUUCUGCGCCUCCAAGGUGAACAUCCUCCUGAGGAAGUUUUCAGCUUCCGGCUUGAGUCUACAGGACCGAGGCCAGCCAGUCUCAGGGGCUUAUGGAUAUGAAGAGGGGACCUGAAGACAUUUACUACAUGUUUUUCCUUCCUGGAAUCUCCCCAGAAUGCCCAGUCGGGCCAUUGCUGGAACCCCAGCCCAGUGACCAGAGGCACACCUGGGAAAAGUGGUUUGAAGACUUUGGACUUCUUGAAAUGCAAUGAGAUCAUCAGAGUUCACUUGUCCAACCUUGUAUUGGCUCUGGGACAGGAGUCUGGAGGGGCAGGAGUAAAGGUGUGGUCCUUCAACUACCGUUCCUACCUCAUCCAUUGCAGGGAGUUAGGGGCAGAAGGGGCACUUUCAAGAGGAACAGAGGGUCAAGGUUUCUC